rnacentral:tRNA from 3 species
GCGAAAGUAGCUCAGUUGGUAGAGCCCCAGAUUGUGGAUCUGGUUGUCGCGGGAUCGUGCCCCGUCUUUCGCCCCA